UGGAAGAAAGCUGGAAUUCAAAUCCCAGCGGUUCCUUGACUCCCUCCAUCCGCCAAAACCUUCCUGUGGAGCCACAGGCAGAUGUGAGCUCAGUAUGAAAGAGGACAGAAGAUGCCUGACUCAGCACCUGAGGUCCCUCUCCGACAUCUGGAGUCGGAAGUCAGGCCUCUCAAAGAAGAUCCUUAAUAGCCUCACCAUGUGGCAGGCACUGUUUGGGGUAUCUCGAGAGCGACAGAUACCUGUUUUUUGACCUUGUGGGGGCAGUGUCACUGAUUCAGCAGAGGAGCUAGAUCCAGGUGCAGGAUGCCUGUUCAAGGUCUGUGCAGAACCGUGGACGCAAGGAGGGGAGGCUGCAGCCAGGGCACCUGCUGUGGGCUGUUGUCAUUGUUUGCGUUGGAACAGGGAGAGGGGGGAACCCAGCUUAACUCUUCCGGAAACGUUUUGAAAAUUCUACCUUGCCUCUUUCACCAGCACAGCCACAGGUGCAUCACAGAAUGUGGACUAAGAACAGCCGUCCUGGCCUUCCUGCAGCAACGUGGUGGUGGCAUUCUUUCCAGCCGGGGAAGGACAUUUUCAAAAGUAGAGAAUUCACCUGCGAUCCCGUUAUGCUUAGGUUUCUCUGUUUUGUCCGCUUUCCAUCUCAGAUAUUCUCCACGUAUGUAUUUUUUACACAAUGGUUUCAGAGGCUUAUGUGUAAUCAGGAUGUGCACAGUUUGAGUCUGCUUUUCUCACUUAGUGCAAAUGCGCACUUUGCUAAGUUGCUUAAUUUUCUAAUCCCUUAAUUUUGGAUAUUUAGGUGGUUGGUAGUAUUUUUUUCUUUUCUUUUUUUUUUUUUUUGCUGUUACAGAAAUUUGUCCUAAAUGCACUACAACCUUUUCUCACUGUUUUCAGGGCAUAACUACCCUCGUGAUGGUCAAAGGCUAUGAAAAUUUUCAUAGUUUGAUACAAAUGCUUGCACUGAGCAGUAAUUAUCAGGCACUGAAGGAAGUCAGAGGUUCAGUGCAAUCUGGUUAGAGAUAUUCAUCAGUAAAAAUGUAUUUUUCCACUUCGCUAGAUUAUGAGAUGAAAUGGUACCUCAUUUUAAUUUACAUUUCCUUGAAAACAGUAAGAUCGGAAAUCUUUCCAAAUGUAAUUCCUCUUAUGUAAACUGCCUAAUUAAUAUAGCCUUCAGAUAUUGAGCUNCAUUUUUUUUUUCUUUUUUUUGUCUUUUUGUCUUUUAGGGCCUCACCCACAGCAUAUGGACAUUCCCAGGCUAGGGGUCUAAUUGGAGCUGUAGCCGCUGGCCUACACCACAGCCACAGCAACGUGGGAUCCGAGCUGUGUCUGCGACCUACACCGCAGCCCACAGCAAUGCCGGAUCCUUAACCCACUGAGUGAGGCCAGGGAUCGAACCCGAGUCCUCAUGGAUGCUAAUUGGGUUUGCUGAGCCACGACGGGAACUCCUAUUUUAUAUUUCUUAUUAAUUUGUAUGAACGAUUCAUCCUUGUCACAAUUGCUUCAAAUAUUUUUCCACUCUUCUAGCUAUUUUUAAUUUUUGGUUUUACAUUUUCAUAGUCAAAUUUGUUGGUCCUAGCAAGUUUCAGGGUUUAGAAUGUUACUUUCUUCUUUCUAAAAACAUCCAAUUCUAUUCUUGUUAAAAUUCUGUAUCCUCUUUUUAAGUCCACCUAGAGUGUAAUCUUUUUAUUUAUUUAUUAAAAAAAUUUUUUUUUGUCUUUUU
rnacentral:lncRNA from 1 species